GACGAACGCUGGCGGCGUGCUUAAUACAUGCAAGUCGAGCGGAAAGGCCCUGCUUUUGUGGGGUGCUCGUGUGGCGAACGGGUGAGUAACACGUGAGUAACCUGUCCUUGACUUUGGGAUAACUUCAGGAAACUGGGGCUAAUAUCGGAUAGAAGCUCCUGCUGCAUGGUGUUGGUUGGAAAGUUUCGGCGGUUGGGGGUGGACUCGCGGCUUAGCAGCUUGUUGGUGGGGUAGUGGCGUACCAAGGCUUCGACGGGUAGCCGGCCUGAGAGGGUGACCGGCCACAUGGGGACUGCGAUACGGCCCAGAAGGCUACGGGAGGCAGCGGUGGAAAAUAUUGCACAAUGGGCGGGAGCCAGAUACAACGACGCCGCGUGCGGGAUGACGGCCUUCGGGUUGUAAACCGCUUUCGACUGUAACGAAGCGUGAGUGACGGUAAUGGGUAAAGAAGCACCGGCUAACUACGUG
rnacentral:rRNA from 1 species